UGGGGAAUAUUGCGCAAUGGGGGGAACCCUGACGCAGCCAUGCCGCGUGAAUGAAGAAGGCCUUAGGGUUGUAAAGUUCUUUCGGUAUUGAGGAAGGUUGAUGUGUUAAUAGCACAUCAAAUUGACGUUAAAUACAGAAGAAGCACCGGCUAACUCCGUGCCAGCAGCCGCGGUAAUACGGAGGGUGCGAGCGUUAAUCGGAAUAACUGGGCGUAAAGGGCACGCAGGCGGUUAUUUAAGUGAGGUGUGAAAGCCCCGGGCUUAACCUGGGAAUUGCAUUUCAGACUGGGUAACUAGAGUACUUUAGGGAGGGGUAGAAUUCCACAUGUAGCGGUGAAAUGCGUAGAGAUGUGGAGGAAUACCGAAGGCGAAGGCAGCCCCUUGGGAAUGUACUGACGCUCAUGUGCGAAAGCGUGGGGAGCAAACAGGAUUAGAUACCCUGGUAGUCCACGCUGUAAACGCUGUCGAUUUGGGGGUUGGGGUUUAACUCCGGCGCCCGUAGCUAACGUGAUAAAUCGACCGCCUGGGGAGUACGGCCGCAAGGUUA
rnacentral:rRNA from 1 species